rnacentral:tRNA from 1 species
CAGGAGUUUAGCUCAGUUGGUAGAGCAUCGGUCUCCAAAACCGAGGGUCGUGGGUUCGAGUCCCCCAACUCCUGCCA